rnacentral:tmRNA from 1 species
GGGUUAGUAAAGGUUUCGACAGGGGCCUUGCAGCUGGAGAAGCUAUCCGCAGGCGAUGCGUCAAAUCGCAAAAAUAAAUAUAAACGCUGAAGAUAAUUUAGCAUACGCUGCCUAAUGGCAGCUGUCCGGCUUAGUGCACCUACACAUUAAGAUUCGGGCAUCGACUAUGUAGGAAACGACACAGGCUAAGCUUUGCACCUGUGGGCGUAGAAUGAAGCUACUAAAUGAACAGGGGUGUCAGUUUCCAGGUUCAGGAGGGAAUGAGGGGAUUCCCGAAUAACUGACUAUGAUAGUAGAAGGACAGGGAAUGGGUCUUUGGACGCGGGUUCGACUCCCGCCUAAUCCAUAU